rnacentral:rRNA from 1 species
UACGAAGGGGGCUAGCGUUGUUCGGAAUUACUGGGCGUAAAGAGUGCGUAGGCGGUUUUACAAGUUGGGAGUGAAAGCCCGGGGCUUAACCUCGGAAUUGCUCUCAAAACUGUAAAACUAGAGUAUGGUAGGGGAUAGUGGAAUUCUUAGUGUAGGGGUGAAAUCCGUAGAUAUUAAGAGGAACACCAGAGGCGAAGGCGACUAUCUGGGCCAUUACUGACGCUAAGGUACGAAAGCGUGGGGAGCAAAC